CUAGUACUAGAGGACCGGAAUGGACGAACCAAUGGUGUUCCAGUUGUCGCGCCAGCGGCAUUGCUGGGUAGCUAGGUUCGGAAAGGAUAACCGCUGAAAGCAUCUAAGCGGGAAGCCCACCUCGAGAUAAGAUAUCCCUCUGUAUGGAAACAUACAGACUGAAGACCCCUUGCAGACGACAAGGUUGAUAGGCCAGGUGUGUAAGCAUAGCAAUAUGUUCAGCUUACUGGUACUAAUCGGUCGUGAGGCUUGGCCAC
rnacentral:rRNA from 1 species